GGCAGUGGUGGCUUGGUGGUUAAGGCUCUGGGAUAGAGGUCGGGGGUUCAAGCCCCAGCACUGCCA